AUUUAUAUAGUUUACUUAAAACAUUACACUUUCACUGUAAAGACAAGCUUAGCUUUAUAAAUA
rnacentral:tRNA from 1 species